GAGUCCGCUACCGUAGAAGCCCGGAUGGAGACCGAUUGUUGUAGAAGUUCGGAGUAGAUCGCUUACUGUAGAAGUCCCACCGUUAGAGAAGCUCGAUCCUUGAUGAAGUCCGAAAGAAGUUCGGAGUAGAGAUCCUGCUGGUGGAACCUAUUCAUUGUAGAAGCUUGUCUGUGAUCCAUCCACUGUAGAAGUUCGGACAGAGCUUGGCCCUUAUAGGAGUUCGGAUGAAGUCCACCUGCAAUAGAAGUUUGGGGUAGAGAUCCGACUUUUGUAGGAAUUCAUCUGGAAUCCAUCCAUUGUAGAAGUUCGGACGGAGUCCGGCUCCUGUAGGAGUUCGGAGUAAAGUCGUUCGUGGCUGGAAG
rnacentral:lncRNA from 1 species